rnacentral:rRNA from 1 species
GAUGAACGCUGGCGGCGUGCUUAACACAUGCAAGUCGAACGAGAAGUGAAGACGGAAACCUUCGGGCGGAAGGCUUUAUUUCGAGUGGCGGACGGGUGAGUAACGCGUGGGUAACCUGCCUCAUACAGGGGGAUAACAGUUGGAAACGACUGUUAAUACCGCAUAAGACCACAGCACCGCAUGGUGCGGGGGUAAAAACUCCGGUGGUAUGAGAUGGACCCGCGUUCGAUUAGCCAGUUGGCGGGGUAACGGCCCACCAAAGCGACGAUCGAUAGCCGAUCUGAGAGGAUGACCGGCCACAUUGGGACUGAGACACGGCCCAAACUCCUACGGGAGGCAGCAGUGGGGAAUAUUGCACAAUGGGGGAAACCCUGAUGCAGCGACGCCGCGUGAGUGAAGAAGUAUUUCGGUAUGUAAAGCUCUAUCAGCAGGGAAGAAAAUGACGGUACCUGAGUAAGAAGCCCGGCUAACUACGUG